rnacentral:rRNA from 1 species
AGCUAAUACUUGCUUUAGCACUCUUGAUUAAGUUCUUGAGUGUGUACUUGUUAAGCCUUUUAAGAAAAAAGUUAUUAACUUAAGGAAUUAUAACAAAGAAGUAACACGUAAUGGAUCCGUCCAUUUUUAGUGUGUAUCAAUCGAGUUUCUGACCUAUCAGCUUUUGAUGUUAGGGUAUUGGCCUAACAUGGCUAUGACGGGUAACGGGGAAUUAGAGUUCGAUUCCGGAGAGGGAGCCUGAGAAAUAGCUACCACAUCUAAGGAAGGCAGCAGGCGCGUAAAUUACCCAAUUCUAAAGAAGAGAGGUAGUGACAAGAAAUAACAAUACAAGGCCAAUCUGGCUUUGUAAUUGGAAUGAUGGGAAUUUAAAACCUUCCCAAAACUCAAUUGGAGGGCAAGUCUGGUGCCAGCAGCCGCGGUAAUUCCAGCUCCAAUAGCGUAUAUUAAAAUUGUUGCAGUUAAAACGCUCGUAGUUGAAUUUCAAAGAAUCGAUAUUUUAAGUAACGCUUUUAGCUUAAUCCACAUAACUGAUACUACGUAUCGACUUUGUGCGCAUUUUGCUAUUAUGUGUUCUUUUAAUUAAAAUGAUUCUUUUUAAGGUCUUUCUUUUGCUCCGGCAUUUGAAGAUCUUGUUACUUUGAGUAAAUUAGAGUGUUCAAAGCAAACAGAUAUAGCAUUGCGCGUUUGAAUACUACAGCAUGGAAUAACAAAAUUGAACAAGUCAGAAUUUUGUUCUUUUUUCUUAUUUUGACUUAGUUACGAUUAAUAGGAGUAGCUUGGGGGCAUUUGUAUUCAGAUGUCAGAGGUGAAAUUCUUAGAUUUUCUGGAGACAAACAACUGCGAAAGCAUUUGCCUAAAAUACUUCCAUUAAUCAAGAACGAAAGUUAAGGGAGUGAAGACGAUCAGAUACCGUCGUAAUCUUAACCAUAAACUAUGCCGACUAGGCUUUGGAUGAAAGAUUUUAAAAUAAGAGUUUUUCUCUUCGGAGUUAACCUCUUAGAUUGCUUCCUUCAGUGCCUUAUGAGAAAUCAAAGUCUUUGGGUUCUAGGGCGAGUAUUCGCGCAAGCGAGAAAGUUAAAAGAAUUGACGGAAGGGCACCACCAGGCGUGGAGCUUGCGGCUUAAUUUGACUCAACACGGGAAAACUCACUAGUUUAAGACAAGAGUAGGAUUGACAGAUUAAUAGCUCUUUCUUGAUUUCUUGGAUGGUGAUGCAUGGCCGUUUUUAGUUCGUGAAUAUGAUUUGUCUGGUUAAUUCCGAUAACGAACGAGAUCUUAACCUGCUAAUUAGCGGCAAAUACGAUAUAUUCUUAUGUGGGAUUGAAUACGGUUGAUUUGCUUAUUUUGAAGAAAAUAUUGGGAUGCGUAAAGUGUCCCUUUCCCUUUUCUACUUAAUUCGCUUAUCAUACUGUUUCUUUUUUGCGUAAGAAUGUAUUUGCUUGAUUGUAAAGCUUCUUAGAGGAACGAUGUGUGUCUAACACAAG